GAUGAACGCUAGCUACAGGCUUAACACAUGCAAGUCGAGGGGAAACGACAUCGAAAGCUUGCUUUUGAUGGGCGUCGACCGGCGCACGGGUGAGUAACGCGUAUCCAACCUGCCCGUCACUUGGGGAUAACCUUGCGAAAGUAAGACUAAUACCCGAUGAUAUCCCUAGAAGACAUCUGAAAGGGAUUAAAGAUUUAUCGGUGAUGGAUGGGGAUGCGUCUGAUUAGCUUGUUGGCGGGGUAAACGGCCCACCAAGGCAACGAUCAGUAGGGGUUCUGAGAGGAAGGUCCCCCCANAUUGGAACUGAGACACGGUCCAAAACUCCUACGGGAGGCAGCAGUGAGGAAUAUUGGUCAAUGGGGCGAGAGCCUGAACCAGCCAAGUAGCGUGCAGGACGACGGCCCUAUGGGUUGUAAACUGCUUUUAUAAGGGAAUAAAGUGAGCCUCGUGAGGCUUUUUGCAUGUACCUUAUGAAUAAGGACCGGCUAAUUCCGUG
rnacentral:rRNA from 1 species